UUAUUAGGUUGAGAGGAGGGAUUAAAUGGGAUGUGAUUCGAAUAAAAUGAAUAUUCGGCAUUGUUAUUGUAUUGGAUGGAAUAAUCGAUCGUCAGGAAUAAUCCAUCGAUGAAUGCCCGCAUAUAGAUCUUGUCAAACAUGUCGACUUGAUGCAACACUGUUCGAAUCCCAACCCAGAUGGUUGAUAAAAGGAGUAACGUGGCUAUUACUUCGUGGUUGGAUCAUUCCGAUGUUGUCAACGUUCCCCUUCUUUUAAGGGUUCCACACAGGGCAAACAUAUUGUAAUUGUCUCUUGACUUAAUGUCAGUGUUACUACAUUUGUGAAGAAUUUUUCUAAAUAGGUCAAUUUUACUACUCCAGUUUAAGUUCAAUCUUGUACAACAUCUCUCGAUACAAUACUGGUUUAAUAUGGCUUCUAGCGUUUCGUUGAGGAUUUGAUUAUUAAGAAUAUAUUUAAAUUUGUAAAAUUCAUGAAUAAUUAAUGAAGCUAAAAACAAAUCACAACGGUGUCAACGCGGUAUUUAGGUCACAUGACAUUGUGCACACUUGUGACUGACAUUAAAAAUCAGUAAGUCAUGUUAGAGGGAUGUUUAUGAAAGUUAUGAAUACUAAUUCAGAAGCAGGGAUGUUUAUGAAAGUUAUCAAUACUAAUUCAGAUUUUAAUUACCCAUUCCAGUUUUAAUUACCCGUUCCAUUUUUAAUUACCCGCUCCAUUUUUAAUUACCCGCUUCUUCUACCCGCUCCUUUACCCCCUCCCCGCUCAAAAUAGAUUAUCCGUUGACGUUGAGAAGGCUAAAAAGGCGUGUUAAGCCUCGCGGGAAAAGCUUAGCCAAAGUUCCUUGCUAUGAUGCAAAAAAAAGAAAGCGGGAUCUAAGUUCCCACGUAAAGAGAAAGUUUAGCGUGUUCAUUCACUUGUCUGUAUUGCAUAAACAGAGCGCAUUCGUAAAUGUAUAAGACGUACACGCAUACAUAUACCAAGGGAACCUGUAAUCCAAUUAGCCAGCCGGCACGGUUGCUGACAUAGCUGCAUAUUUCAAUCCACAGUUUGCACAACGAAUUCCUUGGCAACAAGCAAAUGCCGAUAACUGUACGAAGGGUGACAACUCAGGAUAUCGUGCUCAUCAAGUCUGUUCUUGUGACUUUACUACUGUAGUUCUACACGACUGUUUGCUAUAUAAGCCAAAUGAAUAGAUAGAACUAGAUCUACGACGUGGCAUCCUAUGCAACGGCACGGUUUCAAAAUAAAGAAUUUUUUUAACUAAUGCUAAACAAAAUAAUUAGCUUUUGACUAUAGCUGAAAAUGUGGAGAGCGCGCGUCGUCGAGUUUGGUGCGUCGUAGAUCUUAAACAGUCUAAUAGUUUAAAAGUCAA